CAGCAGCCGCGGGAAUACGUAGGUGGCAAGCGUUGUCCGGAAUGAUUGGGCGUAAAGGGCGCGCAGGCGGCUGUGUAAGUCUGUCUAGAAAGUGCGGGGCUAAACCCCGUGAGAGGAUGGAAACUGGACAGCUGAGAGUGUCGGAGAGGAAAGCGGAAUUCCUAGUGUAGCGGUGAAAUGCGUAGAUAUUAGGAGGAACACCGGUGGCGAAAGCGGCUUUCUGGACGACAACUGACGCUGAGGCGCGAAAGCCAGGGGAGCAAACGGGAUUAGAUACCCCAGUAGUCCCUGUCUCUUAUAC
rnacentral:rRNA from 1 species